AUACGUAGGUGACAAGCGUUAUCCGGAUUUACUGGGCGUAAAGGGCGUGUAGGCGGUCUUGCAAGUCAGAAGUGAAAUUCCUGAGCUCAACUCGGGCGCUGCUUCUGAAACUGCAGGACUUGAGUGCUGGAGGGGAUAGCGGAAUUCCUAGUGGAGCGGUAAAAUGCGCAGAUAUUAGGAAGAACACCGGUGGCGAAGGCGGCUAUCUGGGCAGUAACUGACGCUGAGGCGCGAAAGCGUGGGGAGCAAACAGGAUUAGAUACCCUGGUAGUCCACGCUGUAAACGAUGAUUACUAGGUGUGGGGGGACUGACCCCUUCCGUGCCGCAGUUAACACAAUAAGUAAUCCACCUGGGGAGUACGGCCGCAAGGUUGAAACUUAAAGGAAUUGACGGGG
rnacentral:rRNA from 1 species